UACGAGGGGGGCAAGCGUUGUUCGGAAUUAUUGGGCGUAAAGGGCUCGUAGGCGGUUUGUCGCGUCGGGAGUGAAAACUCAGGGCUUAACCCUGAGCCUGCUUCCGAUACGGGCAGACUAGAGGUAUGCAGGGGAGAACGGAAUUCCUGGUGUAGCGGUGAAAUGCGCAGAUAUCAGGAGGAACACCGGUGGCGAAGGCGGUUCUCUGGGCAUUACCUGACGCUGAGGAGCGAAAGUGUGGGGAGCGAACAGG
rnacentral:rRNA from 1 species